rnacentral:rRNA from 1 species
UCGGGAAUUUUGGGCAAUGGGCGAAAGCCUGACCCAGCAACGCCGCGUGAGGGAUGAAGUAUUUCGGUAUGUAAACCUCGAAAGAAUGGGAAGAAUAAAUGACGGUACCAUUUAUAAGCUCCGGCUAACUACGUGCCAGCAGCCGCGGUAAUACGUAGGGAGCAAGCGUUGUUCGGAUUUACUGGGCGUAAAGGGCGCGUAGGCGGCGCGGUAAGUCACUUGUGAAAUCUCUGAGCUUAACUCAGAACGGCCAAGUGAUACUGCUGUGCUAGAGUGCGGAAGAGGCAACCGGAAUUCUUGGUGUAGCGGUGAAAUGCGUAGAUAUCAAGAGGAACACCUGAGUCGUAGGCGGGUUGCUGGGCCGACACUGACGCUGAUGCGCGAAAGCCAGGGGAGCAAACG